CUCUGGGCGGCACGGCUGUAGCGCCGCCAGCCUCCGGUGCUCCAGGCAGUGCGACUAACACGGCUGCUACUGUGAAACAGGAUGAAGAAGCAAAAAAGAAAAAGUGCCAAACAAAAGAUGUUUCUGUUUGCAUUUCCCGGGGGAUGUAGGGCUGUGUGGUUGUAGGCAGAAGCCUCUUAACUGGUCAAGGGCGCAGACAGACAGGCAUGAGUGUGAAAUUUACAAGAACUGCCUAGUGGACACCUAUGGCAAUCGGGAAUGACUGGCCCCAAUAAGAGAGACAACCUGGGUGAGAUACAGACGAACACUGCUGCCACUCUGAAACCAUUCUAAAACGUUCUUGUCAACUGC